UACGUAGGGGGCAAGCGUUAUCCGGAUUUACUGGGUGUAAAGGGGGCGCAGACGGCGAUGCAAGCCAGGAGUGAAAGCCCGGGGCCCAACCCCGGGACUGCUCUUGGAACUGCGUGGCUGGAGCGCAGGAGGGGCAGGCGGAAUUCCUGGUGUAGCGGUGAAAUGCGUAGAUAUCAGGAGGAACACCGGUGGCGAAGGCGGCCUGCUGGACUGCAACUGACGUUGAGGCCCGAAAGCGUGGGGAGCAAGCAGG
rnacentral:rRNA from 1 species